UACGUAGGGUGCGAGCGUUAAUCGGAAUUACUGGGCGUAAAGCGUGCGCAGGCGGUUCGUUGAGUGAGUGGUGAAAGCCCCGGGCUUAACCUGGGAAUGGCCAUGGAAACUGGCGAGCUGGAGUGUGGCAGAGGGGGGUGGAAUUCCGCGUGUAGCAGUGAAAUGCGUAGAGAUGCGGAGGAACACCGAUGGCGAAGGCAGCCCCCUGGGUUGAUACUGACGCUCAGGCACGAAAGCGUGGGGAGCAAACAGG
rnacentral:rRNA from 1 species